rnacentral:rRNA from 1 species
GAUGAACGCUAGCGGCAGGCUUAAUACAUGCAAGUCGAGGGGUAACAGUUAAGUAGCAAUACUUGAGCUGACGACCGGCAAACGGGCGCGGAACGCGUGCGAAACCUUCCCUUAUCUGGGAGAUAGCCCGAAGAAAUUCGGAUUAAUAUCCCAUAAUAUAAUGAAGUGGCAUCACUUUAUUAUUAAAACUCCGGUGGAUGAGGAUGGUCGCGCGUAUGAUUAGGUAGUUGGCGGGGUAACGGCCCACCAAGCCUUCGAUCAUUAGCUGAUGUGAGAGCAUGAUCAGCCACACGGGCACUGAGACACGGGCCCGACUCCUACGGGAGGCAGCAGUAAGGAAUAUUGGUCAAUGGACGCAAGUCUGAACCAGCCAUGCCGCGUGAAGGAUUAAGGUCCUCUGGAUUGUAAACUUCUUUUAUAGGGGGCGAAACACUUUUUUUCUAAAGAGCUUGACAGUACCCUAUGAAUAAGCACCGGCUAACUCCGUGCCAGCAGCCGCGGUAAUACGGAGGGUGCAAGCGUUAUCCGGAUUUACUGGGUUUAAAGGGUGCGUAGGCGGAUGCCUAAGUCCGAGGUGAAAUCUUGCCGCUUAACGGUAAAAUGGCCUUGGAUACUGGGUGUCUUGAAUCUGACAGAGGUCGGUGGAAUUCGUGGUGUAGCGGUGAAAUGCAUAGAUAUCACGAAGAACAUCAGUGGCGAAGGCGGCCGGCUGGGUCAGUAUUGACGCUGAGGCACGAGAGCGUGGGGAGCGAACAGGAUUAGAUACCCUGGUAGUCCACGCUGUAAACGAUGUAUGCUAGUUGUUGGGCCUUCGGGUUCAGUGACGCAGUUAACGCAGUAAGCAUACCACCUGGGGAGUACGUUCGCAAGAAUGAAACUCAAAGGAAUUGACGGGGGCCCGCACAAGCGGUGGAGCAUGUGGCUUAAUUCGAUGCAACGCGAAGAACCUUACCCGGGCUAAAUCCUGGCCGACCGCCCCCGAAACGGGGCUUCCCUUCGGGGCGACCAGGAAGGUGCUGCAUGGCUGUCGUCAGCUCGUGCCGUGAGGUGUUGCCUUAAGUGGCGCAACGAGCGCAACCCCUGUGGUUAGUUACCAGCACGUAAUGGUGGGGACUCUAGCCAGACUGCCUACGCAAGUAGUGAGGAAGGUGGGGACGACGUCAAGUCAUCAUGGCCCUUAUGUCCGGGGCUGCACACGUGCUACAAUGGAUGGUACAGGGGGAAGCUACCCAGCGAUGGGAUGCAGAUCUCGAAAGCCAUUCCCAGUUCGGAUUGGAGUCUGCAACUCGACUCCAUGAAGGUGGAAUCGCUAGUAAUCGCGUAUCAGCAAUGACGCGGUGAAUACGUUCCCGGGCCUUGUACACACCGCCCGUCAAGCGAUGGAAGUCAGGAGUACCUGAUGUCACCGUGCUAAUCCGCCUUUGGCGGAAGGCAGGUGCCUAGGGUAAGCUUGGUAACUGG